GAUGAACGAGAGGGAGAGGAGGAACACAUGCAAGUCGAGGGGCAGCACAAGGUAGCUUGCUAUCUGGGUGGCGACCGGCGCACGGGUGCGUAACGCGUAUGCAACUUGCCCUAUACAGGAGGAUAACCCGUCGAAAGACGGACUAAUACUGCGUAUGCUCACAACUUGGCAUCAAGUGGUGAGGAAAGAAAUUCGGUAUAGGAUAGGCAUGCGUCCCAUUAGCUUGUUGGUGAGGUAACGGCUCACCAAGGCAACGAUGGGUAGGGGAACUGAGAGGUUUAUCCCCCACACUGGUACUGAGACACGGACCAGACUCCUACGGGAGGCAGCAGUGAGGAGUAUUGGUCAAUGGGCGCGAGCCUGAACCAGCCAAGUCGCGUGAAGGAUGACUGUCUUAUGGAUUGUAAACUUCUUUUAUACGGGAAUAACAAGAGUCACGUGUGACUCCCUGCAUGUACCGUAUGAAUAAGCAUCGGCUAACUCCGU
rnacentral:rRNA from 1 species